ACGGAAGGCAGCAGUGGGGAAUAUUGGACAAUGGACGCAAGCCUGAUCCAGCGACGCCGCGUGAGCGAUGAAGUAUUUCGGUAUGUAAAGCUCUAUCAGCAGGGAAGAAAAUGACGGUACCUGACUAAGAAGCUCCGGCUAAAUACGUGCCAGCAGCCGCGGUAAUACGUAUGGAGCAAGCGUUAUCCGGAUUUACUGGGUGUAAAGGGAGCGUAGACGGCAAAGCAAGUCUGAAGUGAAAUGCCGGGGCUUAACCCCGGAACUGCUUUGGAAACUGUUUAGCUAGAGUGCAGGAGAGGUAAGCGGAAUUCCUAGUGUAGCGGUGAAAUGCGUAGAUAUUAGGAGGAACACCAGUGGCGAAGGCGGCUUACUGGACUGUAACUGACGCUGAGGCACGAAAGUGUGGGGAUCAAACAGGAUUAGAUACCCUGGUA
rnacentral:rRNA from 1 species